UGGGGAAUAGUGCACAAUGGAGGGAACUCUGAUGCAGCGACGCCGCGUGAACGAAGAAGGCUUUCGAGUCGUAAAGUUCUUGUAUAUGGGAAGAUAAUGACGGUACCAUAAGAAAAAGCCCCGGCUAACUACGUGCCAGCAGCCGCGGUAAUACGUAGGGGGCUAGCGUUGUCCGGAAUCACUGGGCGUAAAGGGUUCGCAGGCGGAAAUGCAAGUCAGGUGUAAAAGGCAGUAGCUUAACUACUGUAAGCAUUUGAAACUGCAUAUCUUGAGAAGAGUAGAGGUAAGUGGAAUUUUUAGUGUAGCGGUGAGAUGCGUAGAUAUUAAAAAGAGAACCGGUGGCGAAGGCGACUUACUGGGCUCAUUCUGACGCUGAGGAACGAAAGAGUGGGUAGCAAACAGG
rnacentral:rRNA from 1 species